rnacentral:rRNA from 1 species
CGGGACGGGUGAGUAACGCGUGGGUAACCUACCCUGUACACACGGAUAACAUACCGAAAGGUAUGCUAAUACGGGAUAAUAUAUUUGAGAGGCAUCUCUUGAAUAUCAAAGGUGAGCCAGUACAGGAUGGAUCCGCGUCUGAUUAGCUAGUUGGUAAGGUAACGGCUUACCAAGGCGACGAUCAGUAGCCGACCUGAGAGGGUGAUCGGCCACAUUGGAACUGAGACACGGUCCAA